rnacentral:rRNA from 1 species
CGGGUGCGUAACACGUGAGCAACCUACCGAAAUGAGGGGGAGUAGCCGUCCCAACGGACGGGUAAUACCGCAUACGCUCUAGUUCAGGCAUUUGGAUUAGAGGAAACCUCCGGGGCAUUUCGAGGGGCUCGCGGCCUAUCAGCUAGUUGGUGAGGUAACGGCUCACCAAGGCGACGACGGGUAGCUGGUCUGAGAGGAUGGCCAGCCACAUUGGGACUGAGAUACGGCCCAG